rnacentral:rRNA from 1 species
AUGAACGCUAGCGGCAGGCUUAAUAAUGCAAGUUGAGGGGCAGCAUGAUAUACGCGAGUAUAUUGAUGGCGACCGGCGGACGGGUGAGUAAUAGGUAGGAGACCUACCUCAUACAGGGGGAUAGCAUAGAGAAAUCUGUGGUAAUACCCCAUGAGGUUAUAUGAAUAGAGGCAUAUAAUCAAAGCAUAAGCGAUUAUGCGGUAUGAGAGGGGCCUACUGACCAUUAGCUAGUUGGUGAGGUAAGGGCUCACCAAGGCGAAGAUGGUUAGGGGUUUUGAGAGAGAGACCCCCCACAUUGGAACUGAGAGACGGUCCAGACUCCUACGGGAGGCAGCAGUAGGGAAUAUUGGGCAAUGGGCGAAAGCCUGACCCAGCCAUGCCGCGUGAAGGAAGACGGCCUUAUGGGUUGUAAACUUCUUUACUACGCGAAUAGAGGUUAGUACGAGAUACUAAUAGGAAGGUAGUGUAGUAAAAAGCACCGGCUAACUCCGUG